GAUAACGUCUCCUGCCUACAUCGAGUGUAGUUCAAAAACACAGGAGAACGUGAAGGCAGUGUUUGAUGCAGCCAUUACGGUGGUGCUACAACCUCCGAAGAAAAAAAGAAGAAGAAAAAGGCACAUGGUGGUUGCUCAAUAUUAUGAUUGACGGAAGAUUCGAGUCUGACAAAUAUAGAUCUGUACUGUCAGCUCAACAUUCAAAGAAGUAGCAAAGCCAUCGUGUAUAUUCUCUCAAGUUUAAGCUGACAUUGUUGGGGUUCCUUCAGGAA